GAGGCCGUAGCUCAACGGCAGAGCGCCCGGGCAACCGGGAGGCGAGGGUUCGACUCCCUCUGGCUUCUCCA
rnacentral:tRNA from 1 species